UCACCCCAGUCGCUGACCCUACCGUGGCCGGUCUUCUUACUGCGGAUAGCGCACCGUCUUCAGGUAAAACCAACUCCCAUGGUGUGACGGGCGGUGUGUACAANGCCCGGGAACGUAUUCACCGUGGCGUGCUGAUCCACGAUUACUAGCGAUUCCAACUUCAUGGGCUCGAGUUGCAGAGCCCAAUCCGAACUGAGACGGCUUUUUGAGAUUUGCUGGGGCUUGCCCCUUUGCAUCCUUUUUUCACCACCAUUGUAACACGUGUGUAGGACGAAAUCCGUUUGUCCACCACCACCUAAGAUGGGUACCAGAUCCAUCAGCAAUUAUCAUCAGCUGGAGCCACAGAAGGACAAUAUCCGAGCCGCUCCCUCAGAGAUAUUAAGCCCAAAACGGAAAGCCCCAACGCCCCCGCAGACCUCUCAGAAUGCCAUAGUGACCCUUCACGCUCGAGCAACCUGCCAAAGAUACG
rnacentral:rRNA from 1 species